UGAACUGUAUGUCAAGCCAGGAAAACCUUGUCCGCCAAGGUGAGGAAAGACCAUCACGAAUCUCCUAGCAGAGACUGGGGUGGGUUUCUGAAAGCACCUGUUGGCUGAGCCCUGGAGGUGGCUGGGGAGCAGAAAGGUCUUGCAGAGACGGCAUGGCUUGAGCAAAAACCACAGGUUCCGGAAAUGCAAAGUGUGUGCAGGCUAGGCGACAUGGAGGAUGUAGUGCAGUGAUAGAGAAGCAGUAAGGUGGAGCUGCCGCAGCCGCCGAGGAGUGUCUGUCCAGGAGCAGAAGCCGUCCUAGACGGAGCAGAGGGCACGGAGGUGGGUAUGGCACCCCCUAGCACUGUGGACCAGGGUGCUCGGAGCUGGGGCUGGAACAGGGACACCAGGAAGAGAGUUGGCCCCAAGAGACCAGCUGGAGCGGGAGGCAGCCAGGUGACUGGCCUGGAGGGGCUUGAGCUUGGUCUCUGAAAGGUCAGAGGAAGAGUAGAGGGUGAUGCCCCUGGUGGCCCCCCAGCAUGGGCAGCAAGGGCACCCUCAGACUGAUAUUUGCCCAGCCAUCCUGGAGAGAAGGUCGCUGGAAAUGUGAAUCUGGAGCUGGUUGCAGCAGCAGCCUGGGUCAGGGCUGUCUUCCCGGGGUCACUGUGGAGGGAAGAGGAGGAUGUGGAAAUGGUAGGAAAGGAAGAGCUGCUUCAUGGGAGACAGAAGAAGAAUGGUCAGAGAGGAAGGAGGGACGCAGGUGUGGCUGCUGUCACGGAAGCUAAGGAGGAGAGAGUUUCAAGAAAGAAGUGCCUGUCUGUCACAAUGCAGCGCAUUCAGAAAGUGGAUUGAUCAGUCGGCAGAGUGGGCAGUUUCAGUGGAGCUGGAGAGACUGGGAAGCUUCCAGCCUCUGAAACCCUCUGGCUGGGAUCUGCCUGUUUUGCCCAGUGUUUUAAAAACAAAAAUGAAACGACUAAAUUAGGUCCAGGAUUGAAAGAUCAGGUGAUUUCAGAUAAAAAUGUCUCCAGAUUUCAGCUUUCCUUUAAAAAAAAGUCUGAAGAUUCACCCUGGGUGGGGGCGGAAGGAACAGGGCCUGAGUAACUGUUACCCCUCUAGAUGGGCCAGACUCCCAGCACCUGGGCAGUUUGGGGGGUGUGGCCAGUGUGGGGCAGAUGGAAGGUUCUUCAGCCCGGGGGGAGACCUUGCUGUAAUUGGAGGGGAGAAGGAAUCAGUGGAGGGCAUGGAUAUUUGCAGGCAGGGCAGUGUGACCCAGGCCAUUGGGAGGACGUAGAAGACAGGGCUCAGAGUCCACACCAGCCCUGGUGGGCUCCUUGGCCUGCUCCUGGUGGAGCAGGUGCUUUUGCUGUGGGGAGGGGGGUGCUGCCUGUGGACGUGUGGAGCAGGGCUCCAGGAGGCUAAUUCUAGGGCCUUGGGAAUUGGCAGAGACCAAGUGGUUUCAUCCCACUGGCCUCGUCGUACAGAUGGGGACACAGGCUUGACAGGCUUGGGGGAUGGAGGAUAGUGGCUUUGUCCAGUUAGUCAGGAUUCUAGGCCUGGGGUCCUGCCAGCCUUCAGGGAUGCUUCUCAACCCCCACACUCCCAGGCAGCACCCCCACCAUCACCCUUCUAAGGAAACGCAGGUGGGGAAGGCCUCAAGUAACCAAUGAAAAAUGAUGGAAUCUGGAGAAAGAAACAUCUGGAAGUGGCCAGGGCCUAGCAGAGAUGACACCCUCCUGCAUCCACCCCAGGGCCAGACCAGUCUUGGAGUUAAGCUAGGGGCAGAAUCAGGGUGGGUAGGUGGGUCCUCUCUCCUCCAGUCCUGGGGCUCCAAACACUAUCCUUACACCGGUGACACCCCGUUUAUGUCAGCCCUCAUUCCCGUCUCUCUCCUGACCACAGACUGGCCGCCAACUGCCUGCCGCCAGCUCCACUGGGAUGUCCAAGCACAUCUCUUUCCGGGUGGUGGCUAAAACAGAACUGUUUUCUCUUGCAAACCUGCUCCUCCCCAAGGUUUCACAGACAGUUCUAGCCCCAAAACACAGACUCGGCCCCGAUUUCUUUUCUCCUCUACCCUCUCAUUCAACCUAUAGAUUCCUGUCACAUCUGUUCCCAAACAGGUUCCUCUCCAAGCCCCCGAGGUCUCCACCCUUCCCCUCUGGGCUCUUCAGCCUUCUCCACGCAGUAGCAGAUGGAGUGGCUAACACAGAAGUCUGAUCUCCUGCAUCCCCCCUCUGCCGAAGGGCUUCGGGCAGCUUCUCAUCAGAUUUAGGAUGAGUCUGCACUCAGCUGCACUGGCCUUUUUGUUCCUCACACAGACCGGGGGCGGGGUCCCACCUCAGGGCCUUUGCACUUGCUGUGUGGCUGACUGCAGUUACUCCCAUCUCAAUCCUUGAGAGCCUCUUCAGGGUAGCCGCCUAGUCAGCCUGGCUGAAUACCGCUCGAGAAUUCCUGUAUCACAUCACCCUGCUUGAUUUUCUUCAUAGCACUUAUCAUCAUCUGACCCUGUUCCAUCUAUUUACAUGUGUACUGGGCGCUCUGCAAGAACAGAGUUGGGUCUGCCUUGUUCCCCGCCCAAGCCCAGCCCUGGGCACACCCCCUGCCUGGUUGCUGCCCCUGCUCACUGCCGCCUGAAGAUUUGCCUGCAGCUGCCACACCGCGCCGAACAGUCUUUCUCGAAGCCAAAGGAGCCUCUACUUGGGGAAGCUGACACCAUGGGGAGACACCCCGGGAGGAGAGCUGAUCCCUUUGGACUCCCCAGUUUGUGAAAAGGGGUUGGAUGUGUGCAGCGCCCUCCAGCUUUGGCAGCCUGAGUUUGGACUUCUGAACAGAGAUGCCCUCAAGAGAAGGGAGGACCUGCAAGAAUACAGCCUUCCUGGAGGAUGAGACACAAAACAGAGACCCUGUGUCAGGCAGAGUGUGGCAAGUCUGGGUCUAGGAUGCAGAACCCUGGGCUCUGGGAGGGCUCCUGUGCUUCUGUCAGCCUCAGUGUUAUCAUCUGUAAAAGGGGUAUCCGUCCUGGAGCUCAAGCGGAGGCGCCUCCACCUGGGAGGGUUUCAGAUGGCCUGAGUGGGAGUCACCAACUCAGGGACUGGAUUCAGAGGCCCUGCCGCCUGAGGGCCCCUCCCCAGGGAAGGCCCCGUUGGCUGUUACCUGCUGAGGUUAUAGUUGAGGGCCAAAGAGUGUCUCCCCAAAAUGUGUUUUAAACCGAGAGGUUGGCUUCAUCCUAGGCCUGGACUGGGAGCGAGGGUGGCAGGGCCCAGUUUGGGAUUUAAAAUGUAAAUAGGCAUUAAGUACUUUUCAGCAUUUAAGGGGAGACAAAGGGAAAUUCACCAGGCGAGACUGUGGAGAAGGUUGCCUUUAAGAUGCAAAUGUGUAUUGUGAAGGCCUGAAUGGGGACGUUGUUAGGGGCCCUGGCCCCUUGCCCCCUGUGGCUGGGCAGUGGGCUCUGAGGGGCCGGUGGGUCUGACUGAACCCAGGAGAAGCGGCCAGAGAUCAAAGGAGUGGACAAGUCGUGCUGAGGCUGAAAGGGUGCAAAACGUGGGGGCUGAGAGAGCUUAGAGUUCCCAGACGCCUCACUUGGAGGGAGCCUGCUGACCCCUUCAGUAGGAACUGGGCCCCAGCUCUGCCGGGAGACUGGGACAGGCCAGGGGGCUGGUUCCUAAGCGCAGCCAGCCCAUGCUAGGGCACCAGCAAAACAGGAGCCCCACAGAGGGUUCCAAUAGGAUACACAUUGUUUAAGGAUGGAGGUAGGUAGUGCGCAUCAGGGAAGAAGCCAGACCUUUGUGGGACCUCACACAGCAUUAAGUUUGGUUUUCAUUCUGAAUUGCAUUAAGCAAGAGGGAUGGCAGGCCCACGUGCACACAUCUGCAUGGGGCCUCGAGGCACCCAGGGACCAUGGUUGUUGAGUAAGAAUCUCCAACCUAGAGAUAAGGCCCACAGAGGUGACAGAGUUGAGGAUGAUUGGAGAUUUGCACCUGUCUCCAGAAUUGAGAGCCACCUCCCUCUGUCCGUUCUCCAAGAGCUGUGAAGGCUGCUGGACCGAGCAGUGAGUGGGUGCAGGAGAAGAGGGAGGUGGGGGCCCGGCCAGGCCCUGCUGUAAGUCAUGCUGCCUUUCCCCAGGUCUUCUUUUCCCCCAUUUCUUUAAAAGCCCAUUAGUUUUUUCUCAGUAAAGUUACUCGUGGUCUAAAACUCAA